rfam:Pristionchus pacificus strain PS312 contig2316, whole genome shotgun sequence.
UCUUCAUUUCACACACUCUCUCACCGGUCAGAGAGGCGAGAGAGUGUGUGAAAUGAAGAGA